GAUAUUUCACCGAAAUCAUACGUAACUGUCAUUAGUUGCAGCAACUACAACAAUAAGCUGCUUGAGGAAUGAUUCGGAAUGACACAGAGUAGACAUGCCAUAAUGUUAAAAAUAGAAGUACACUUCACAGAUAUGUUGAAAGAAAUUUUAACGGUUUGUUAACAUAUUAAUAUAUAAAUUGUAACACCAAUAGUUUUAACCUAAAAGUUUCGUUUAAUUUGCGAUAUAAAUUUAAUGCUGGUGUAAUGUUUAUCAUUUACGUUUAAUGAAUAUAUCGAACAACUGCAUACAAGAAUAUGCUUCA